ensembl:lncRNA
CAAAAAUAUGUUUUCCCUUCAGCUUCAGAGCUCAGACCAAAGCGAUGCAACUGACACCAAACAAAUCCGCCGCCUGCCAGGAUAAACAGACAUUUGUGGUGCUGUUUGCUGCGUGCCUGCCACGAAAUAAAGACACUGACAUGCAUUUUAAUGCAACUCUCCUGCAAAUUGUGAAAAAAUAACUGUGCACUGCUUAUUCGUUGCUGGGUUACCGGAAGGGAAGAGAAUAUUUCUGCAGACACGAUGAACUAGCAAGUGCUGGCAGCUCCCACAGUCCCCAGUGCUGCAUGGGGCCACAGCUUCUUCCCAGCACUCUGAAGCCCAGGAAAAGCCAUGAGAGCCGCGGGUGUCCCACUCCCACACUUCCUCCCAUUGGGCUCAGUGGCCCAAGAGGAGUGUCACUGCCGUGAGCCUCGCG